AACAGUCAGGAACAGUCAGGAACAGUCAGGAACAGUCAGGAACAGUCAGAAACAGUCAGGAACAGUCAGAAACAGUCAGGAACAGUCAGGUCAAACAGUCUGCAACAGUCAGGAACAGUCAGGAACAGUCAGGAACGGUCAGGAACAGUCAGGAACAGUCAGAAACAGUCAGGAACAGUCAGGUCAAACAGUCUGCAACAGUCAGGAACAGUCAGGAACAGUCAGGAACAGUCAGGAACAGUCAGAAACAGUCAGGAACAGUCAGGUCAAACAGUCUGCAACAGUCAGGAACAGUCAGGAACAGUCAGAAACAGUCAGGAAUGGUCAGGAACAGUCAGGUCAAACAGUCAGGAACAGUCAGGAACAGUCAGGAACAGUCAGGUCAAACAGUCUGCAACAGUCAGGAACAGUCAGGAACAGUCAGGAACAGUCAGAAACAGUCAGGAACAGUCAGGUCAAACAGUCAGAAACAGUCAGGAACAGUCAGGAACAGUCAGGAACAGUCAGGAACAGUCAGGUCAAACAGUCAGGAACAGUCAGGAACAGUCAGGAACAGUCAGGUCAAACAGUCAGAAACAGUCAGGAACAGUCAGGAACAGUCAGGUCAAACAGUCAGAAACAGUCAGGAACAGUCAGGUCAAACAGUCAGAAACAGUCAGAAACAGUCGGGUCAAACAGUCAGAAACAGUCAGGAACAGUCAGAAAUAGUCAGAAACAGUCAGGUCAAACAGUCAGAAACAGUCAGAAACAGUCAGAAACAGUCAGGAACAGUCGGGUCAAACAGUCAGGAACGGUCAGGAACAGUCAGGAACAGUCAGGAACAGUCAGGAACGGUCAGGUCAAACAGUCAGGAACAGUCAGGAACAGUCAGGAACAGUCAGGAACAGUCAGAAACAGUCAGGAACAGUCAGAAACAGUCAGGAACAGUCAGGAACAGUCAGGUCAAACAGUCAGGAACAGUCAGGAACAGUCAGGAACAGUCAGGAACAGUCAGAAACAGUCGGGUCAAACAGUCAGGAACAGUCAGGAACAGUCAGGAACAGUCAGAAACAGUCAGAAACAGUCGGGUCAAACAGUCAGGAACAGUCAGGAACAGUCAGAAACAGUCGGGUCAAACAGUCUGCAACAGUCAGGAACAGUCAGGAACAGUCAGGAACAGUCAGGAACAGUCAGAAACAGUCGGGUCAAACAGUCAGGAACAGUCAGGAACAGUCAGAAACAGUCGGGUCAAACAGUCUGCAACAGUCAGGAACAGUCAGGAACAGUCAGAAACAGUCAGGAACAGUCAGGUCAAACAGUCAGAAACAGUCAGAAACAGUCAGAAACAGUCAGGUCAAACAGUCAGAAACAGUCAGGAACAGUCAGGAACAGUCAGGUCAAACAGUCAGGAACAGUCAGGAACAGUCAGGAACAGUCAGGUCAAACAGUCAGAAACAGUCAGGAACAGUCAGGAACAGUCAGAAACAGUCAGGUCAAACAGUCAGAAACAGUCAGGAACAGUCGGGUCAAACAGUCUGCAACAGUCAGGAACAGUCAGGAACAGUCAGAAACAGUCAGGAACAGUCAGAAACAGUCAGGAACAGUCAGAAACAGUCAGAAACAGUCAGGAACAGUCAGAAACAGUCGGGUCAAACAGUCACACAGCUGUACAACAGUCAUAUAAAACGACACUAACACUCAGCAGUCUGAGAUAAUCAAGGAAAAAGUCACAUUAAAGGGACAGUCCGUCAUUUUAGAUCAGGGGGUCUGUGAGCGACAUGACUCCAGGAGGUGAAGGAGAAUCUACGACAGGUGAUGGUCAGCUCUGCUGGGUCAGAGGGAACAGAUUCUGAUAAUUCAGUCGGAAACAAAUUAAACUGGUAAAUAAAGAAAGAGGGAAAAAGUGAGCAUGAAACGACAGACAGACAAAGAAUUAAACUAAGAUCAAUAACUGAAUCGAUAAAAGAGCAGAAGAAGACUAAGGCGACGUUCAGACUGCAGGUCAUUCUGAUGUUUUAACCAUCUGUGACUCAUAUCUGAUGUUUUCAUCUUAGUGUGAACAGGUCAGUUCUGAUUGGUUCUGAUCCGACCCAGGCCUCUUCUGUAUGUGGAUAUAAAUCAGAUAUGUAUCUGAUGUGACUGCAGUGUGACGCUCAGGUCGCGUUCAUCCGACCUUUACGUCAUCAAUAUGAGACAAACGUCACCAUUGUUCAACAACACAAACAGGCGUGGAAAGCAGUUUGUGCUUUGUGCACAUGAGGGUCACUUCACGGACGCAUUCGUUGUUGUAACGUGAACGACCGCACAAAAAGAUCGGAUUUAACAAAAACUCUGAGCUGUGCAUCAGAACCUGCAGAGUGGACGUAGAUCCUUACUGACUGUUUUACAUAUUCAGAAAUUAAUGUAGUUCAGCUUAUUUAAAGCUCCUAUAAGGAGUUUUUGACGUUUAUGAACUCGACUGAAAUUCAUGUUGAUGCUUUUAUAAUAAUAUACAAACACAAACAAAACCAUCAUAGAGGAGACCGAACAUCUGAACAUUUUCAGUGUGUGAAACCCGAGCGUGGGUGAAGGUUCGAGUCUUACAGCUGAACAAACAGAAAUGUGUUUAGAGUUCCCUUCAUUACAGCCUCACGAUGAAUGACUAAUGUGACUGUUACCAGGAUGAGAUAAAUCAAUACUACAGCAUGUCCACAGGGGG
rnacentral:lncRNA from 1 species